CUUCCGCUGUGGGCGGGGCCCGCGCUCCCACUUCCGGCGGAGGCAGACCGGUGUGCGAUGGCGGCGGGCGGCAGCGACCCGAGGGCAGGCGACGUGGAGGAGGACGCCUCGCAGCUCAUCUUCCCCAAAGAGUUUGAGACAGCUGAGACACUUCUAAAUUCAGAAGUCCACAUGCUCCUGGAGCAUCGAAAGCAGCAGAACGAGAGUGCGGAGGACGAACAGGAACUUUCUGAGGUCUUCAUGAAAACGUUAAACUACACAGCUCGUUUCAGUCGUUUCAAAAACAGAGAGACCAUUGCCAGUGUCCGAAGCUUGUUGCUCCAGAAGAAGCUUCAUAAGUUUGAGUUGGCCUGUUUGGCCAACCUUUGUCCAGAGACUGCUGAGGAGUCCAAGGCUCUCAUUCCAAGCCUGGAGGGGCGAUUUGAAGACGAGGAGCUGCAGCAGAUCCUCGAUGACAUCCAGACCAAGCGCAGCUUCCAGUACUAAUCUCCAGCACCGUGCUGCCGAGCGAGCCCCCGCGGCACGUCUCCAGGACCUGAAACUCCCGGAUGGCACGGGACACGGGACAGCAGCACUGCUCGGGCUUGGUUUGGGUUGCUGUUUCAGACUUGGCUGUUAGAUCAUGACGACCAGGGAGUCUUGGAGAGACCUUGCUGUGCUGCUUGCUGGCUGCCUGAGCUCCCCCUGGAGAGGAUUCACUUGUUGGUAGGUAUGUAUUUGAUGAACAAGGCUGUCUCCCGGCAAAAACAAAGCUGAUCCUCACAGCCAGUUGGUCUGACGGUCAACUCCUCCCAGUGAUACCAACAACAAUCGACUUAACUACAGAUUUUCGGUCCCGGCGGCGCCCACACGGCUGCUCCCCGAGAAUCCACUCCACUCCCCGAAACCAUAACGGAACAGACCAUCUCCUUCGCCAAGGACUUCCUGACCGGGGGCGUCGCCGCCACCAUCUCCGAGAUGGUGGCCCCAAUCGAGAGGGUCGAGCUGCUGCUGCAGGUGCAGCAUGCCAGCCAGCAGACCACGGCGGACAAGCAGGACAAGGGCA